rnacentral:rRNA from 1 species
GGCUCAGGAUGACCGCUAGCGGGAGGCUUAACACAUGCAAGUCGAGGGGCAUCACGAGGUAGCAAUACUUUGGUGGCGACCGGCGCACGGGUGAGUAACACGUAUGUAACCUACCCUGUACAGGGGGAUAGCCCGGAGAAAUUCGGAUUAAUACCCCAUGACAAUAUCGGGAGGCAUCUUUUGAUAUUUAAAGUUUCGACGGUACAGGAUGGGCAUGCGCAACAUUAGCUAGUUGGUAGGGUAACGGCCUACCAAGGCUACGAUGUUUAGGGGACCUGAGAGGGUGAUCCCCCACACUGGUACUGAGACACGGACCAGACUCCUACGGGAGGCAGCAGUGAGGAAUAUUGGUCAAUGGGCGUAAGCCUGAACCAGCCAUCCCGCGUGCAGGAAGACGGCGCUAUGCGUUGUAAACUGCUUUUCCAGGGAAAGAAAACCCCCGACGUGUCGGGGCUUGCCGGUACCCUGGGAAUAAGCAUCGGCUAACUCCGUGCCAGCAGCCGCGGUAAUACGGAGGAUGCCAGCGUUAUCCGGAUUUAUUGGGUUUAAAGGGUGCGUAGGCGGGUUAAUAAGUCAGUGGUGAAAACCUUCAGCUUAACUGGAGACUUGCCAUUGAUACUGUUAGUCUUGAGUACGGUCAAGGUAGGCGGAAUGUGUAAUGUAGCGGUGAAAUGCUUAGAUAUUACACAGAACACCGAUUGCGAAGGCAGCUUACUGGACCAAUACUGACGUUGAUGCACGAAAGCGUGGGGAGCGAACAGGAUUAGAUACCCUGGUAGUCCACGCCGUAAACGAUGAUCACUCGCUGUUAGCGAUACACAGUUAGCGGCUAAGCAAAAGCAUUAAGUGAU